CUAGGGCCUCCGGCCCCCUCCUUUUCCGAGCGCAUCCCGCACUCUCCGCGGAGCCGCAACCGUCAGCCCUCGACGAAACCUCGCGAGAGCUCGACAGCCCCCGCCCCGCCCCUCCUCGGGCUGCGAUGCUCGGGGCCGCCCACGAAGGGGCCGGGAAGCUGCGGGACGGGUCGGGGUCGGGGUCGGGGUCGGGGUCGUGACCUCCGGCCACACAGCCUAGCUCUCCGCGGGGCCGGGCGGACCCUCAGGGAGCGGCGGCCGAGGUUUAGGGCGGCCCCGGAAGCAGAGCGCCGGCGGCUUUGGUCUGGUCGUGGUGAGAGGAGAUCGCGGACGAGCCGCCUUCCCAGCCCAGCACCGUUUUUAUCCCCCUCCCCCAGGCUCUCUGUGGCCGGGGCUCCAUCAGAGCUGGUCAUGUUAUUAGGCUGGGAUAAUAAAAAGGACUGUUGAACUUCACAUCUGCCAUCUAUAACACAUUCUUAAUGAAGCAAUCUUGCACCAGGGGAUUUAUCAACUCUGCCAAAUUUCCUAAAAUUACCAAAUGGAGAAAAAAGAGCUGGUCCCGCCUCUCACCAGGCACAACCAGCACAGUAUCUGACUUUCACUGUGAUGACUGCAGACAGGAUGGGGUCUGAACGCUGGUCUUCAGCGCACCAUACAACAGUGCUAGACCCUCAACUGUAUGAAGGGGAAGAAAGCCCUCCUUAAAAGAUUUACUGGAGUUAACACCUGGGGAUCCUCAAGAAAUGAACGCUACCACUGUUCUGCUUCAGAAGUUUGGAACCAAAACUGCAAUGUCCCCAAGACAUGCCUGUAGGUACACCAGUCCAUACUGAUAAAUGACUGAAUAAACAGGAGAGAAGAAACAAAUCUUCAAGAAGAAUAACAUGCACAGAUACUGCUCUCUCCCGGGGUUGGAGCUUAAACCUCCUCAACCCACAGAGUAUGGAAAGGGAAAAGCAGGAACUUGACAGUGGAGAAACCUGGCAGACACCACUGUGACCAGGUGGCCAAGGUGAGCACUGCCUGGGAUAGGUGAUGUGGUGGUUACAACCACCCAGCAGGAUGUGAUGCGAAAGGUGCUUGAGAAACAUCAGACCAACUCCAAUGGAGGGACAUUCUUCAGACUGCCUGGCCAGUACUCCUCAGAACUGUCAGGGUCAUGAGACACAAGGGAAGUCUGAGGAACUGUCACAGGCGAGAGACCGCAAAGGAGACGGGAUGACUAAAUGUAGUGUGUGCCUGGAUGGGACUCUGGGACAGAAAGCAGACAUUAGGGAAAAACUGGUGAAAUCCAAAUAAAGGCUGGAUUUUAGUUAAUGGUAACUACCAACGUUGGUUUCUUAGUCAUGACAAAUGUUCCAUGGUAACGUAAGAGGUUAACAAUGGGGGAAACUGGGUGAGGGGCACAUAGAAGCUCUCUGUACUCUCUCUGCCAUUUUUCUGUAAAUCUCAAAUUAGACCAAAAUAAAAGUUUAUUGGAAAAGAAAAAUAAAAAAAAAGACAU